rnacentral:snoRNA from 1 species
GCCUUGUGGUUCCUGGUGACUGCUGUGUUGUGCAGUGCCUCAGGUUUAUAAAUGGGCACAUAUUAACUCUGUAAUUUUUUGCAUGGAGUCCUCCUCAUCAUUAAGAAGAUUCCAUAGCCCGGUUACAGAGACAAGU